rnacentral:pre_miRNA from 1 species
AUAGUACUCUCUUUGUCCGGAAUUACUUAAUGGAUGUAUCUAGACAUAUUUUAGUUCUAGAUACAUCCAUUUUAUCUAUUUCUGCGACAAGUAAUUUCGCACGGAGGGAGUAUAUA